AAAAAUAGGAGGAAUUCGGUACUUUCUUGAUAAAAGAAGAUUACUUAUCGAUAGUGUAAAAUUGGAGAAGUCGCAUGAAAUAUCAAAUGAUAACAGUGAGAAUCAAUUGGAAGUAUUACAAUGCCAAAAUGAACAAUUAACAAACUCCUUUAUAGGAUUAAAAACAAAGUCUCUUAUCAGUAAACAUGAGAAUACAAAGAAUCACAUUUAAUGCUAAAAGAAAUAAGAUUAUUCAAACUAACCUGCAGAGAAUUUGCAUAAACUAUCAGAAGAUGUCAAAGAUAAUCAUAUGUAUCAAAUACACGGCAUCAAAUGUAUCAAAUACAGCUAAGCGUGCUUGCAACACACAUCUACAAUGGUUACGAUAUAAUACAUCACCUUGGUCGUCUGUAAAAGAACAUUGGGAUGGAUCACGUGAAUUACAGCAAAGUUUUAUAAAACAACAUACAGGAAGUGUUUAUGACAUUUUUAAUAAAUAUCUAGUACUCAAACAAAGAACGUGGUUACAUGCUUUUGGAUAGAGUGAUUACAAUGCUUUACUUAAUGAAAAAUCUAACAUUUAUAACGAGUGGCCUGAACUGUCUGAGAAAUUAGAAACUUUACUAGAAAAUCGAGUUAUAAAAGAUAAAACCUUUGCGAAGCAACUGGAAGAGAUUCAACUAUAUGGAAAAGGAAAUAAACGUAGAGAUAUUAGAGGUACUGCAUUGCUUUCUCUAAUACCUGUACUGUGUCCUUCUAAUGUGCGAUUAAAGAUACCAGGAGGAAACAAAAUAUGGCGACUUACUAUAGCUGAAUCAGUAGAUGCUUUUAUUUGUCAUAUUAAAGUUUCAGGAGAUUUUGAAAGAGUAAAACGUCGUAGACAAGAAAAAGCCAAUAAACUGAAAGAAACUCUACAAUAUAUAUAAUUGCAAUAGGACCACAACUAACUGCAAUUGAAGCAUUUUAUAUUAUUAUUGAUGAUGUAAUGUACAAAAUGGAAAAUGUGUUAAAAGCCGUUGACAUUUUGUAUAAGAUUUUUCA